rnacentral:rRNA from 1 species
GACGAACCGUGCGAACGUUAUUCGGAAUCACUGGGCUUAAAGCGCGUGUAGGCGGGCCGCCCCGUCGGCUGCUGAAAUCCCCCGGCUCAACCGGGGAACGGGCACCGAUACGAGCGGCCUGGAGGGGGGUAGGGGGGUCUGGAACUUUCGGUGGAGCGGUGAAAUGCGUUGAGAUCGGAAGGAACGCCCGUGGCGAAAGCGAGGCCCUGGACCCUUACUGACGCUGAGACGCGAAAGCCAGGGGAGCGAACGGG